UACAGAGGUCUCAAGCGUUGUUCGGAUUCAUUGGGCGUAAAGGGUGUGUAGGUGGCGCGCUAAGUCGGGUGUGAAAUUUCGGGAGCUUAACUCCGAAACUGCAUUCGAUACUGGCGUGCUUGAGGACUGGAGAGGAGACUGGAAUUUACGGUGUAGCAGUGAAAUGCGUAGAUAUCGUAAGGAAGACCAGUGGCGAAGGCGGGUCUCUGGACAGUUCCUGACACUGAGACACGAAGGCCAGGGGAGCAAACGGG
rnacentral:rRNA from 1 species